CAUCACCGCCACGGGAGUCCGGUGCCCCGCCGGACUGAGAGGUGGGCCGAUCAGCCCACGACCGUUCGCACCUGAUCCGGAUCAUGCCGGCGCAGGGAGGCAGGCUCGGCCUCGG
rnacentral:ncRNA from 2 species